GGAACAGCUAAUUGGCCGGCCAUGAAGAACUGAGGAAGCAGACCUACACCUCAAGUCUCUAUGAUGUCUUUUCAAGACAUUUAAGAAGCAUCAGCUAUUUUUCAAGCAUUGGAGAUACAGAGAUGAGCAAGUGCUGGCCCUCAAGAAGAAUAUAAUAUCAGGAAAGAGGUGAAAGAAUGCAGAGAGAUAAAUGUGCCUGGAGUCUUAAGAAAACUGAUGAUUGA